GUUGAUAAUUAAUAGAUCCAUGAACCCUAUCAAUGUGGUCUCUGCUGUGUACAUAGCUGUAAGUAGUGCAAUAUUGCUUAUAGGGUUUUAGUUUUUGGAAAGAACAGUGGCCAAG
rnacentral:pre_miRNA from 15 species